GUGCGGCUAGCAUUAAAUAUAUUUUAUAUAGCAUAAGAAGUGAUUUCUACAUAUAAUUAUAAACGGAAUAUAUAAAGCCUAGGCUAGUUAUCCAAACCACGUCUACAUCUGAUAUACAUAUAUAUCAUAUUACAGAGAGCUUCAUUAGUUAACUAAUUACUUAUACCAAACAAAGUUGGUAUAUGUUAAUUAGCGGCGAAUCUUGGGGUACUCUCUUAUCUCUAUCCCCCCAAAUAGCAGGGCUGCGUCCUUGCUAUUAAGAACAGCCUGAUCAUUCCUAAGAGGAGUUGGGUGUCUCCCUGCACGAGCUGGUUGGUCUUGAGAAAAUGGAGGCCUCUUGCCGGGCCGGCCAUAGAACUUGUCUAGCAUGGCAAAAGCCUCCCCUGCAAGCUUUGCUAGCUCUUCCUGAGUUGCCAUAAUAGUAAUAUUGCUACAAUUUAGUACAAGCACACAAACAAACAGAUGCACAAAGCAGGUCAGGUAAUUUGGUUUGCCUUUGUUUUCUUGGUAAAAUGGUUCGCGGCCAAGCCCCAUUAUAUAGGAGUUAAAAAGGCCACCUUAUUGUGAGACCUUGUGGAUAAGUUGGUUGGAUAACAUAGAUAUCCAUUCUUCCCAAAAGGGAUUCCCACUUUUGGUGAUUCCUUCAGAGACACUUUUGAAUCUUUGACUUGGGGGCUUUGCUUACGUUAGAAAUAUGUAUUAGCAAUGUUGCAAAUUACAGAAGUGCCUUAAAAAGUGUUAUGAUCAAUAACACUAUUGAACGUAUGUAUGGAAGAUUGUUUGGUGCUAAGAAUUUCGUGGCAGGUUGACCCAUGGAUAUGGUUCGUACAAAACACAUUAAUGAAAAAUAGGAAUACGCACAAAUUGUGGGAGGUGAAGAUAUUUCUUCCUGGAGAGAUUGAUAGGAAUCAAUAUCAUAGUUUAUCUGGUUUCUUUUCGUUGCUUGAGAGCUGCAUAUGCUGAAUUUUUCAAAUAAACUUAUUUGAGGGCUGCAUAUGAUGGAUCUUUCAACAAUAAACAGUAUAUUUAAUAUAUUAGAGUGCUACGUACUAAACGGACCCUAAAAUUUAAGGAGGAAGUGAGAAAGUCCACCUCUAACCAUGCUCCUUAGAGCAUCCACAAUCAUGCUCUCUAUUUUUUAGUUAAACUUUAGCUAAAAACAUAUAAAAGUUAUUUUAAGAGGUCUCUAUAAAAUUUAAACUCCAAUCAUGCUCUCUACUUUAGGGAGUCAUAAAUGCUAUAACUCUUUUUUAAUUGGUCCAUCUCUAUUAAAAAAUAAUAUAAACAUAAUAAACAUUAAUUAAAGGUUUGAAAAACUCAUUAAAUAAAGCAACAUUAAAUUAUAGGGAGCCACUAGGAGUUCUUUCUCUCUCCUCAGAUUUAUGAGCUCUUAGAAGUCUCCCUAUUUUAGGAGGUGGAUAGGGAGCAUGGUUAGAGUUGUAUUUUUCCAAAUCCUCCCUAAAAUUUGUCUAAGGAGAUGGUUUAGGGAGCCCAUUGUGGAUGCUCUUAUCCAACUCCUAAAAUAGGGAGACUUCUAAGAGCUCUUAAAUCUAAGGAGAGAGAAAGGACACCUAGUGACUCCCUAUAAUUAAAUACUAGUUUACUUUAAUGCUAUUUUAAGUAUUUACUUUAAUGCUAAUUAUUGUUUGCGUAACAAAAUUAUUCUGGCCUAUCUCAGGGUAGGCAAGGCCUGUGCUUCAUAUCUUCUUGGUAGGAAAUGAUAUUCUUGAUCAUACACACACACACAUAUAUAUAUAUAUAUAUAUAGGAAGUUUCAAUUGAGGGAUAUCUUUGUCGGGCUCACUCUGUAUUGCAUUUUACUAAUCCAAACCAUCUAUUUUGUAGAUACUCAUUCAAAGAUCAUCUCUACAAAAAAUCACUUGAAUCUAAUAUUAUUUUACCACUCAAUUAAAUUAUUGAAAUUACAAUUGGAUAUCAAAACGGUUUUUGAUUUAUCUAAUAUUUUGCAAAGAUGAUCUAUGAAUGUAGACUUAAAAAAUAGAUGGUUUGAAUCGUUGAAAAAAGAUUCGUAAGAAACUCUAAAAGGUGUCCCUCAAAUAAAAGUAUUUGAAGAAUCCCUCAACAUAUAUAAAGUAUGUGUGAUUUCAAUUUUUCAACAGAAAAAGAUACCAAUUAAAGUCGGCCAGUGUCCCACAAUCCCCAGCCACAACACAACCUUGCCUUCAACAAUGCAUGGGUCCUUAGUUGCGAUAAGAUAUUUGAAGAAGCUUAGGGAAUAAAAUGCCUUAAGAGACUGUUUAGGGGUGGUAGAAAUCCACCUAACUCGGGCACGAGAAGAAUAACGGCCGGGGUUUGGAGGCCAGGAUUGGAGAAGUUAGCGACCGGAAAUGUCGGGGUUCCUGCGGCCAAAAUGUUGGAGAAUUUGGGAGAUCUCGGCCGGGUCUUGAAGGAGUCUCGUGGCGGCCGAGAUUUGGAGCAGCCAGUGUCUUGGGCCGAAUAUGUGGCUGGAGUACUUGGAGGGCUACGGGGCAGGCCUGAGCCCGAGUUUUUCUAAUUGAGGCCGGGUCUUUGGCUUUGAGCAGACAAGGCUUCGGAGAAUGCGGCUGGGGUAUUUAGUCUCUUUACAAACUGGGCUGAAAGGGUUUUGGUUUGGAGUAGACAAAGCUUUGGAGAACGGCGGUUGGAGCUUUGUGGAUUUGUUAACAGCUGAAGGGUUUUCUAGGUUGGAAGUUUAAUUGUCUUAUUCGAUAUACUAGUCUCUCAUCACGCGCUUCCGCGCUUGCAAGAGGCUUUUUUUUUUAAAAAAAAAAUUAUUUUAGAAUUAAAAAAGAUAAUGGGUAGUUGUGUUCCAUAAAAAUAGGAUCCAUUAUCUGCUUUUUCUUUUUCUUUUAAUUUUUUUAAAUAUGAAAAAGUGUGAAUUUACCAUAUUAUCCUCAUUUAAUUAAUAAUUUGAAUUCAUAAUGUUUGCAUUAACCAAGGGCAUUUUCUGGUAUUUUGAAUGUUUCACCAUUUUCUGCCUUUUGCUUUAUAUAUAGAUACAUACAUAUUUUCAAAUAAGUGGGGCUGGAACUUCAAGAUAAUUGCGCCCGAGGCUUUAUUGAACCUCCUUUGUCUAAUUUUAUAUAUACAUAAUAUUUUUAUAUAAAUGCAAUUGCCUUGGAUUAUUGCAAGUGCGGUUGGAGGUUCGCAAGCUUAAGCCCUCCAUAUCCUGUUGUAUGAUAAUACAAAAUAUAUAUAUAUUGUUAUAAACUAAAGAGAUUAUAGAGAGAAUUGGAAUGGAGAGAGGGAGUAGAAACUGAAUUGUUGUGGGCUUAAGCUUGCGAACCUCCAAAAUGCAAAGGAAAUAGUUAAAGAUAUGUAGUAAAAGACAAAGAGGUGAUGUAUAUAUCCUAUUAAACAGGGGUGGUACGCUUUUGUCCAGGAGGAAAAAAAUUGGAGAGAGGAGGGUAGCGUAAAAACAAAAGUGAUUUAGAGGUAGAAAACANNNNNNNNNNNNNNNNNNNNNNNNNNNNNNNNNNNNNNNNNNNNNNNNNNNNNNNNNNNNNNNNNNNNNNNNNNNNNNNNNNNNNNNNNNNNNNNNNNNNACCCCCUUUAAAAAACCUCCCCCCUUUUUUUGUUCCGAGAAACCCCAAUCAGGCGUUUUUUUUUCAAGAAAAAGGGGGGAGAUACUUUCAAGGCCCCCUUUCACAUUUCAGGUCCCGCCCUUUUUAUCACUUUUUUCAAAACCCUUAAAAAGGGUUUUUGGGGGGGGGGGCAGGAGGCCCCCGGGGUAAAAAAAAAAAAAAAAAAAAAAAAAAAGGGGGAGCCGGCGUUGCCGCUCCGUAGGAGCUGAAAAUUUUAAGACUUUUGGGGGAGGAAUGGGCCCAAAAGGGGGCGGGGAAGCUUUAAAAUUUUUGCCUUGUGUCUUUGCCGGGGAGGUCCCAAAGGACUUUGUUUGCCGUCUCCUUGUUGGUAUGCCAUCAAUUGCAACAUUCCCAACAGGCCCUUUGGGUUUUGUCCUUCCCCUGACUUUGGGUUGGGGUUGGGGGGGUGCCCCCCCGCCCCCCCCUGAGCCACUCGCCGGAAUUUGGUUUAUUGCCGCCCCUGGACCUCCAUAGUUUUGUGCCUGCAGGGAACCUCCCUGGGGUUGGUAAAAAUGUUGAUUGGGAGACUGGGUAGUAGGCCCCCCCCCCCCCCCCCAUGCAGUGAUCCAGAGAACCCAUUGAUGGCUAAGAGGCCAAGUAUUUCCAUUCCAUUUUACCAACCGGUUUAGUUGCUGCAUAACAUGCAUGAUGAUGAAGUAUGAGUUUUCAAUUUGAGGUCCCGACUUUUGUUUUCUUUUUCUAUCAACUUUGGGACACCGCAAGGCCAAGCAUCAAGAUCAUAUAGAUGUAAUUGUACUGCACCAGCUAUAAAGCUACAGAGAACCCAUUGAACAGGGCUUGAACAGUAGUAGCCCCUCGACGAUGUCGUUGUUGGAGCGGUCAAAAUCUCCUUUGCCCAAAGACAAGGCCAUGGGAACGAAGCCAGAGUCGGCGGACGUUGAUCUGGACAUCAUGAGCUGGUGCUUGAUAUGGAUAAUCAGGUUGUUCUUACUGAGUAGGGAAGAUGAGGUCACUGCCAUUGUUGAGUCCAUUUUCAAGAACUGUCACUUUCUUUAUUCUCAAUGCUCAACAAAAGGAAUAUCACACGGAAAUGAUGAAAGCAAAAGAAGAUCCAACAGCAAACCCACCGACAGAAAGAAAAAAUAAAAAAUUAAAAAAUUAAAAAAAAAUUAAAAAAAAUAAAAAUAAAAAAGAGUCACUCACGUGGACCCUUGGUAUAUUUAUCUAUAUGUAUAAUACACUAUAUUUAUCUGCUUUUUUAUUACUAACCAUUAACAAAAUGGACCCUUGGUAAUACUAAACAUAUUAUCAGUGGGAGACCGUUACUAAUACUAACAUUUUUCUUAUUUUAUUCGGUGGUGGUUUUAACCUCACAUUUAUUUUAUUUACUGUAUGGUGUAGGUUUAUUACCCAUACAACCAGUAUUUAUUUAAAAGGGUGGUGCGGGUUUAUCAUCCACGCCUUUACUUUUAUUUAAAUGUAUGGAGCAGAAUUAGUGCCCAUACAAGCACAAUUUACUUUACCGCACAUUUAAUUUUAUUUAAGGUAUGGUGCGGGAUUAACGUCCAUACAGCAAACAAUUUAAUUUACCGCACAUUUACAUUUAUUUAAAAGGGUGGUGCGGGUUUAUCGUCCACGCCUUUACUUUUAUUUAAAUGUAUGGAGCAGAAUUAAUGCCCAUACAAGCACCUUAACUUUAUGAAUUUAAUUUACCGCACAUUUACAUUUAUUUAAAGUGUGGUGCGGGUUUAUCGUCCAUACCAGUAAUUUAUUUACCAGCAAGUUAUUUUAUGGAUUAAAUGUGCUGUAUGAUGAGUUUUUUUUUUUUUACAGUAUACAGAUCAGGACCAGAAGUUCCUUGAUCCUCAUCAUACAAUUACAUCAGGACUUGAAGAUCCUUGAUGAUGAUGUUAAUAUGAGAGCUGGCAGUCUCUCCGGUACUAUAUUUGUAAACAUGUGAUCGGACUUGAGGGUCCUUGAUCCCUGACAUGUAAAUAAGGACCUGGGGUUCCUUAAUGAUGUAACAAGUACCGUAUUGGUUCAUAAUACCGUACACAUAGAUGAUAACUGUACUGGCAAAUGUACUGGAACCUGCAGUUCCUUAAACUCAUGGAUGAGCAAUUAAAUGAGAUGCCAGAAGUUCCUCAAAAUAUGGACAAUUAUGUAAGGACUUGAAGUCCAGAAAUAUGUACAGAAAAUUGUAAAAAUGUCCAUACCAUGAGAAUACGUGAUUUUGGCCCGAAGUUCAAAAUCUAAGGGAAUUGAAUGUCCAUACCAUGAGAAUAUGUGAUUUUGGCCUGAAGUUCAAAAUCUAACAGCGUUGAGAACCUGAAGUUCCAACAAUUAAAUGGACAACCCUUGAUGUAUUAUUGCAAAUUGUGGUACGCCACAUAUCUCUUUGGCAUAAGAGAAUGAUGAAUUGAGGCUCCCCACAUAUUUUGUUAUAUCUGGGCCGGAAGCUCUUGAACCCAAAUAUAUGAGAUAUUAGCGUGGCUUUUACUCAAUUCAUAUUUCAUGUCCAUUUGAAAAGGGCAAAUAAAUUCUGAUUUUGUGUUUAGCCCAGGCCAAAAGUUCCGGGCUCCCAUACGUUGAAAUAUGAAAUUUGGGAGAGUCGAUGUGGUUAUUUGAACCUAUAAGGCACAAGGUUCCAAACCGUCAUUUUGAAAAGACGUAAAAACCACAUGUGCAAAUUUUAAGAAUGUGCGCAAUUAUUAUAACAGGAAAGGAGCAAAUUGAAACGCAGUUGCUCCAAUCAAGUUUUGUAAAGGCCAUAUCUAUAGGAGGAAAUAUGGCUACAGUUUCCAGGAUCCCAAUAUUAUCUCAAAUCCCCAUAUUAUCUUUUUCUUUCCCAGAGUCCAAAACUUCACGUGGCCUCUGAUAAUGCCUGUCGGCACUUUCGGCGUUUUCAAGUAUUAUUUUCAUCAAAAGCCGAUUUCACGGAGCUACUUUUUCAAAAGUACCCCGAGAAUCUCGCAAUUUUCCUAUGGUUAAUUUGAAAUUCACCGGUUCUACCUAUUCAUUGUAUUUGUGUAUAAAUGUGUUACUAACGAAAUUUUCUUUGCAGAAGACAUCCAGUUUUCUCCAUACCUAGUGAUGCGAUAUCUACUUGUUUUUCUUAUCAGUGAGCACUUAAUAUGCCCGAGAAGCAAGACUAUCUCUGAUCAUCCAUUCAGGAAGCGAGACUAUCCCUGAUCACGUUUCCGCUACAUCAGGAAACUGUGAAGGCGAUCUUAUGCUCUAAUCUCCGGAAGUCCUUCUAGACUAGGAGAUAUGAGAGCCUAUUGUCUGCUCCCACCAGCUUCCUUCCCUGAUUGCUUACCUUCUUUUUUUUUUGCAUUUUUUCUCUUUCUGUAAUUCUCUGAGAAUUAUUUGUUUUUGACAGAGAAAAGAGUUGUGAUUUUACUAUUGCAGGAUAUAACUAGAUCAUCAAGCGCUACAUUUACUGGGCCGAUACAAGCUUGAAUGAUACUUGAGAAAAGUUUCUCCCACCUAAGGAUGUAAGCAAUACUUGUGUUAUUUUUUGCUUAUAUACUUAUUUGAUAUUUUAUCUUGAAAGGUAACCAAAUGGGAAGAUAAGUCCGUUCCAAAAGAAUGGCUUGUAUGUAUCCAUGAAUUAUUAAUGCAAAUUUUACAGAUUGUAAGUUGGAUACAUUGAUAAUACACUGCACAGAUUAAAGUCCCAUAAGAACAGAAUAUGGGUAUAGCAGUGAUCAAUAUGAUGCACGCCUGUUGCGUAGCAAAUGAUGUGGAUUGAAGUCCCGAAAGGACAAUCCUUUGACAUGUCAAUAUUGAUAUUAUGCACGCCUAAUGCGUAGCAAAUUAUAUGGGUUAAAGUCCCAUAAUAUGGGUUAAAGUCCCAGAAAUUAAUUGACAUGUAUGUAUUAAUCUGUGGCAUGCCUGCAGCAUGACAGAUAUAUGUAUCCAUGAAUUAUUAAUGCAAAUUUUACAAAUUGUAAGUUGGAUACAUUGAUAAUACACUGCACAGAUUAAAGUCCCAUAAGAACAGAAUAUGGGUAUAGCAGUGAUCAAUAUGAUGCACGCCUGUUGCGUAGCAAAUGAUGUGGAUUGAAGUCCCGAAAGAACAAUCCUUUGACAUGUCAAUAUUGAUAUUAUGCACGCCUAAUGCGUAGCAAAUUAUAUGGGUUAAAGUCCCAGAAAUUAAUUGACAUGUAUGUAUUAAUCUGUGACAUGCCUGCAACAUGACAGAUAUAUGGGUUCUAAAUGUUCCAACUCUCUAAAUAGAGAUUAUCCACGCCCUACUGUAAAAUAACGCUCCAUUGGAGGUUAUAAUCCACAUUCUCACAUAAUAAAAGCCCCAUGAAGUGGCUUGGGUACCCAAAAGCAAAGAAAUGCUUAUAAUUGAUGCAUGCGCAUGCACAUGAGAAUGGUGAGAUCAUGAAUUGAUGAAUGACAAUUUUUAGUUUUGGAGUAGCUACUCAAAUCAUCAAUGGGCUGUGUUGAUUGGAACUACGUUCAAUUAUUAAAUGUCGACAAUAUCAUUGGCCAAAAUGGAACGAGGUAAUUCCAUUAUAAAUGAGAAUGAACGUGAAAGAACAAACCCACAAUACGAACCCCAAAAUUUGUUAAUACUGAAAGUUAUACUUGGGUGUUCGGAAUAAAAGGGAAUAUACUUACUUUGUAUGACACACUGUUUCUAGCAGAAACAAGGAAUGUUGGGUUUUCUCCAUAUUUACAGAUUCAAUUGUGCUCCCCUUAUUACACAAUUACGGAGACCAAUAUAUUAUCUUUAAGGGUUAUUAAAUGCACGGAGCAUAUCGCCAGAAGCGAUUCCCUAAAGAUGUAUAAAUAGCUGGGUUAAAGCUAUAUAAUGUGUCAUAAAGUUUAAUCCCUUUUAGACAAAAUCCGCUGAGAGGAUUGAUAUUGCAUAAAGCAAGUCCCUAAAGGACAUGUGCUUGAAGCACAAAAUUUGUACUCAAUAUUAAUAUGCAUAAAUUACCUCAGUGAGUACAUUGAUUAUAAUGUGAUUGCAACACAUUAAAGCUUCUGCAGAAUUCACGAAAUAUUUGUCUCGACUUAAGGAUCGAGCAUUAUACCAACGAGAUUCUUGCUUAUACUAAGAGAGUCUUAUCCGUUGGUCCUUAAAUGUUUUUCCGGAAGUAUACUAGACCAGAUAGAGCUCAGCUCCACACUGUACUCUUUUUCCUUCAUCCAGGUUUUUAUCCCAUUGGAUUUUUCCUGGUAAGGUUUUAACGAGGCAGUGUCGCUCAAGGGUUUAGGGUAUACUAUGAAAAUUUUUAUGGUCGCUUACUGGACAAAAGCUAGUCCUAAAUUUUUCAGGGGGAGAUAUUCACAAAGGAGAGCGUGGUUUUAAUAAAGACCUCCAUACACUGUACUCUUUUUCCUUCAUCCAAGUUUUUAUCCCAUUGGGUUUUUCAUGGUAAGGUUUUAACGAGGCAGUGUCACUCAAGAUUGACUCACAGAAGCAGUGUCAACUACGAUAUUCAGAAAGGUGAUCAACAGUAUGACUUAAAGAUAUUUUGCCGAGCAUCAGGGGGAGCGUACUAUCAAUAAAGAUCUUCAAACACUGUACUCUUUUUCCUUCGUCCAGGUUUUUAUCCCACUGGGUUUUUCCUGGCAAGGUUUUAACGAGGCAGUGUCGCACGCGCGUCAAUAUACACAGAAUUUUAUGUUACACAUGAUUAUGUACUCUUUUUUCCUUUGACCAGUUUUUGUCCCACUGAGUUUUUACUGGCAAGGUUUUUAACGAGACAUAUUCCAUAUCAUUUGUGGUCUCCAAGGGGGAGUGUUGUAAAUAUAUAAGGUGGAGCCCACAUCCAAUUGGGAGAGGCUUUGCCUAUAAAAGGGUUCACACCCUUCAUUGUAAACACACACUUGAAUGAGAAACAUUCUCUUCAGAUUUCUAUGCUUGAUCCAUCUCAAUCCCCUCUACAAUUUCCUUUUGAUUUAUAACAUAUAUAUAUGUAGCGGCGGACCUAGAAAUUUUUCAAAGAAGGGACAAUAUUUAAAAGUCUAAAAUGAUUUUUAAAAAGGCUAAAAACACUAUAUUAAUCACAUUAACCAAUUCACCAUGUUAAUUAUAUACAAAUAAACACAACAUUGAAAUAUUAAUCAUUUAAUCAAACCACAACAAUCUUUAUUAAUUAAUUACAAACUAAAAAUAUAUACAAAAAAAUAAAUUCAAAAAAAUCAAUACAAAAUAACCAAAACAAAAACUCUAAUCAAUUAACCAAAACCCAAUAAUCCAUCCUAAUUAAUUAAAGCAUAAAGAGAAAUAACUUUGAAAUUUGAGAGAGAAAUUAAUUUUCCAAACAAAUUGUGGAGGGUUGGUCCAUUGGUGGAUGGCUUAUCUCUUCUGGUUUUAGAGCUGCCAUGGCUUAUGCCCACUUCACAACCCUUCUUUUGCCUCUAAAACAAAUGGGUUUCCAUCAAAUGAAUAAAAGAAUACAGAGAUGGAGAGAGAUCCUUUCAGGGUGUCGUUGCUGAAUGAAUGUAAUGGAAUUUACUUAUACCAAUUUGAGAGAGGGAGAGAUAGUCAAUGAUAAUGAAAAAAGCACAAAGAGAAAAGCUAAUGGAUGAUGAAGGCAAAAGAGGAUUGAGAAAAAAGGGAUGUGGUUGGGGAGUUGGCCGGUGUGGGUAGUGGUGGCCCUUUCUUUUUAUUUCUUUUUAUUUUUUUUUAUUAUUUUGGUUUCACUUGGACCAAAACUAUGCGUUUUGGACAUAUCACUUUCAAAAAAAAAGAACCCAAACAGCCUUGCGCGCUGCAGCCUACGCAAAGAGCUGCUGCCUGGAGCUUCUUUGGAGCAAAUAAUCGAACAGUUGGUGGGCAAUAGAAGAGGGGCAUUUCCAGCUUCUCAAAGUGAUUUUCCGGCGAAAGGAGGUGCAAGUGCACCUCCUUGCAUCUCUGUAGAUCUGCCAGUGUAUAUAUAUAUAUAUAUGUGUGUAAGUAUAUAUAAACAAAUGAACCUGCAUGUGCGGCUAGGUACUCAAGCUGAAGCAUUCCUCAUCCUAUUAUAUAUAUAUAUUUGAAAUUUAAUAUAUAUUAUAUGGGUGACAAUAUAAGAAAAAUCGGAGGCUCAAGUUCAAGACACCAACCCAAGUUCAGGAUUUUUCGAGGAUUACAUGCACGUGACGGAGGCUUUGCAAGGGAAGAAAUCAAGGAGGUUGAUAAUAAUUUCAAAUGUUCCAAAGUAAUAAGAAAUAAUCAAGCAUGUCAAACUAUCUCCUUCAAUGCAAUCCCACGAAUUUAGGGGGGCCUCAGAAGGAAGGAAAUUUUAAAAGAGUUGACCUUUGGCCAUUCAAUGGCCAGCCCAUUGGCUGACGAAUGCCCUAUAUAAACCUUGCUCAACAAAGGCAGAAGACACAACAUCAGACAAACAAACUUAUCUUUUAUCUCGCACUUUUCUUUUCCUAGACUUAGAAUUUUACUUUUCAAGCACCUAGUGUAGUGAGUUCUUCCUUUUUUUAGUGUAAGUAUAUAUUUUUCUUGUCAUUUAAAUUCUUGUUUGAUUUAUAUUUCUUGUCAUUUAAAUUCAAGUUUAUUUCCAUUCCUUUAUAUUUCAUUGUUAUCGCACUUCAAUUAAGUUUAAUUUCAAGUUUGUUUAUUUUAUCGUUCUUAGCGUUCUUAUCGCUUUUAUUUCGUUCUUGCUUUAUUUAUCGCUUUGAUUUAUUUUAUCGCACUUCAAUUCUUGUCUUUACCUUUAUACACAUAUUUAGUUUAAUUGCAUUAUUUUUACAUAAAACUCUAAAAAUCACAAAAACAUUCGUAUGAAACCUAACCAUCCUCGAGCUAGAGGAAGUGAAAGAAUCUAGGCCAAGAGGAGGUUACUUGCUUGGCCGAUCAAUCGUUUGGUCAGAAGUUAGAAGCGCAACACAUCCAUCUAUUCUUAUUCCAUCCAAGCCCAAAUUCGGAGUUUGGUGGUGGCACACCCUGCACUCCAAAAAAGAAGGAUCAAAAGUUCAUUCCGUUAGCCAUCCCGGCCAAAAAAAGGGAACAGAGACACUUUUGAAUCUUUGAAGUGCCUUAAAAAGUAUUAUGAAUAGCACUAUUGAAUGUUUGGAAGAUUGUUUGGUGCUAAGAAUUUCGUGGGAGGUUGACCCAUGGAUAUGGUUGGUACAAAACACAUUAAUGAAAAAUAGGGAUAAGCACAAAUUGUGGGAGGUGAAGAUAUUAUCUUCCUUAAGAGAUUGAAAGGAAUCAAUAUCAUACUUUAUCUAGUUUCCUUUUUCUUUGCUUGAGAGCUGCAUAUGAUAGAUCUUUCAAAUAAACUUAUUUGAGGGGUAUUUUUGUAGAGCUCACUUUGUAUUGUAUUUGAACAAUUCAAACUAUCUAUUUAAUAGAUUAGAGUGCUACUAAACGAACCUUAAUAUUAAUUGAAUACACCAUACUACUAAACUAUUUAUUAAAUUACUAAUUUACCCUAAUAUAAACUAAAAAUAAUAUAUAUUGAAUUGUGAAACAAAUGUGAUUUUAAUAAGUGCACCUUACUAACGCAGAUCCUCUGGUUGUUUUUUUCUCAAUUUGUUUGACUUUUCUUUUAAGCAUCCCACAUCAUUUAAAAAAAAUAUCUAAAACAUGACACCCCAUAUUUUUGCCUACAAUCUUCUUCUCCAUCUUAGCAUUUGGACAACCGAACUCUUUUCUCUCUCAAAACCAAGCUCAGUAGAACCUCUUCUCCUUUCAAUCAGUCUUCUUCGCCAAACAUAUAAUUUUUUCAUUUUCCUCAUCUUUCAAUUCAGGAAAUUUCCUAUAAUAUUUGAAGCCCCUUGUGAAACUUGUUUUCUCCUAUUUACCCCCACAAAAGUAGCCACACGAAUCAUAUUGGGACUUAAUUAUAUCAGCAAGCAAGGCAAUCAAAGUUGUUUUUUGGUUUCAUAUAUUGGAUUCAAAAAACAAAAAAUUAUUUUUAAAAAAUCAGAAAGAGAAAAAUUAAAAAACAGACCGCAUGAAAUACUGUGUUUCUUGGGAAAAAAAAUUAAAAACCCCCGAAGCUGCAAAAUUGAGUGUUUUAAUAAGAAUGAUUCCCUUACUGAGUAUUACUUAUUAUUUGAUUUAGGAUCAAUAUCAAAGAAUUCUAUUGAACGUUUUUGUGCUAUUAGUUAUAUUUAGGAUAUAUAAAAAAGAACAAUAUUGUCCAGAUUGUACAGUAAAGACUUUGAGAAUCAAAGUAUGGGGAAAGGGAUCGUGGGGAGAUGAAUGUUGUUGGUCUUUUUUUGAAGAGGUAGUGUAUUAGGGUGUAUCAAGAGUAUUUUUGGUAGUUAAAUAGGGUGUACUUUGUUAAUUUUACAUUUUAAUUAGGGCAUACUCAGUAAAUUUUAGAGUUCAUUUAGCAACACUCAUAGAUUAUCUCUUUAAAAAAAUCACACAAAUUAACGGGUAUUUUUGUAGAGCUCAAUUUGUAUUGUAUUUCAACAAUUUGAAUCGUCUAUGUCAUUGAUUAUAUCGCUUUAAAAAACCACCCGAAUUGAAUAUUUUUAACCAUUUGAUUGAAUAGUAGUCAUUUAUUAAGUGUGUGUCUAUUUGUCUCAUCACAUUUAUAUAUGUUUGAAUGGUUUACAAUUUGUUCAAAUAAAUGAAAUGCAAAGUGGAUGAACCCUAGAAAGUGUCGUAUUUGAAAAAUAUAUAAAUAAAAUGAUAACCUUACACAUAUUUGUUUAUUUUAUAUAAAUAUCACCACAAACAUAGAAUAAACAGUUGCAAAACAACAGAAAACUUCUAAUACUCAAAAAACAUCCUUUAGCUUACAUGAUAGAAACAGAAACUGCCUUUUUCCACAACACUUCUAUUCAACUGAGCAUCUUAUAUCUUCUUCAGUUGCAUUAUUUGCAAAAUUUGUUCCUCUGUUUGCAAAUAUGAAGCAUUUUUCAAACAUCUAGCAUAUUGCUGAAACAUCUAUCACUAGAUCACAUCUUACAAAAGUUAUUCUUCUGUAUUUGUUGUCGCUACUUCUCUUCUAAUUAAUAGUCUAAUCAAUCUAAUAGGGUUUGCUGUUGCUAUUCCAAAAGAGUUCAAGCCAGACAACCUGCGUUAAAAUUUACUUUGACCAUUGACGCGUUGAGUUAGAAACUUUCCUUUUCCUUGGUUCAAAUUUAGGGAAGGAAGAUAAAAAGGAAAGCUCAACAAUUGCACCUAUAAGUUCCUCUUAACUUUUGACUAUUUUGGGAUUUUUUUAAAUUGUUAUAGCAACAAAAUAAUAAUAAUUUAUUUUGAUAAUUUUAAUUUUUUGAAGGGAAAAAUUCUUUUGAUAAUAAAACCUACGUGUCUUUUAUAUCACAUCACCAUCUUUUAAGUUAAACUUUAUGUGUCGUAUUGAUCACAUUUGCUAACUCAUCGAUAAAUAUAAUUCUCUCACUUUAUUAAGAAAUAUGACCCACGAAUGAUGAUGGGUAAUGUGAAACUAUAAUAUGCGCACACACACACACACACCAUUUCUAUAAGGAUGAGAAAUUGCCAAGUCAGUCUAGUGCAUCUGAUACCAGUGCUGAUCUUUUUGCUUUCUACUUCAACUCUAUAUUUCUUCUUUGUUAUUUUCUUACAUGAAUAAAAUUCUUUGAUAUUGCAAGGAAAGUUGUUUUCUUCUCCUUUUGUCUUCUAUUUUUUUUAAUAAUAAUAAAUUUCCUUGAAAAGUGAUUACAUAACAAACAAGAGAGAGUAUGCAAGAGAGGAGGGGCUAGCCUUAAAUAUAUUUUAUAUAACAUAAGAAGUGAUUUGUACAUAUAAUUACAAGCGGACACAUAGACAUUGAGGUGCAGAAAAUAAGCUAGCUUAGACUGUAGGCUAGCUAUCCAAACCACUUCUACAUCUGCUAUACAUACAUAUACUAUAUUACAGAGAGCUUCAUUAGUUAACUAAUUACUUAUACCAAACUAAGUUGGUAAUAAUUAGCGGCGAACCUUGGGGUACUCUCUUAUCUCUAUCCCCCCAAAUAGCAGGGCUGCGUCCUUGCUAUUAAGAGCAGCCUGAUCAUUCCUAAGAGGAGCUGGUUGUCUCCCGGAACGAGCUUGUUGGUCUUGAGAAAAUGGAGAGCUCUUGCCGGGCUGGCCACAGAACUUGUCUAGCAUGGCAAAAGCCUCCCUUCCAAGCCUUGCUAGCUCUUCCUGAGUUGCCAUAAUAAUAUUGCUAAAAUUUAGUACAAGCACACAAAACACAGAUGCACGAAGCAGGUCAGGUAAUUUGGUUUGCCUUUGUUUUCUUGGUAACAACGGUUUGCGGCCACGCCCCAUUAUGUAGGAGUUAAAAAGGCGACUAUGGAAGAUUUUUUGUUGCUAAGAAUUUCGUGCAGGUUGACAGACGGAUAUGGUUGGUACAAAAAACAUUAAUGAAAAAUAGGAAUAAGCACAAAUUGUGGGAGGUGAAGAUAUUAUCUUCCUGAAGAGAUUGGAAGGAAUCAAUAUCAUACUUUAUCUGGGUUUACUUUCUUUCCUUGAGAGCUGCAAUGAUGGAUUUUUCAAAUAAAUAUUUCAACGUUUAUCUCUUCAAAAAAAUCACACAAAUUGACAGGUGCACAUGCAUGUGAUAAAUACUCAAAUAAACUUAUUUGAGGGGUAUUUUUGUAGAAUUCAAUUGUAUUGUACGUAUUUCAACAAUUUGAACCAUCUAUGUCAUUGAUUAUAUAUCUUUAAACAAGCAUCCGAAUUGAAUUUUUUUUGAGUGUUGAUUUUCUCACUCCUCUUUUGUUCACUUACACUCCAUUUUGUCUUUUUAAGAGAGUGUAAGUGGACAAAAGAGGAGUGAGAAAAUCAACUUCCUUUUUUUAACCAUUUGAUUGAAUAGUUCGUAAUUUAAGUGUUUGUCUAUUUGUCUAGUCACAUUUACAAUUUGUUCAAUAUUUUAUAAGGAAAAUCUAUGAAUUAAACUUGAAAAUUAGAAAGUGGAUGAACCCUAGAAAGUGUCAAUAGAAUGAUAACCUUACACAUAUUUGUUUAUUUUAUAUAAAUAUCACAACAAACAUAGAAUAAACAGUUCUGCAAAACAACAUAAAACUUCUAAUACUCAACAAACACAUACUUUAGCUUACAGAAUAAUUGCCUUUUUCCACAACACUUCUAUUGAACUGAGGCACAUGAUCCAAAGAGUAAGAUAUGUCAUUUUUCAUGCACUCAUGAUAGGAACUUUUUUGGAAUCUAAUAUGAUUUUAUGUCCUCGAUUUUGCUUGAUUUUAAUCAAUUAGAAUCCUUUUAGGAGUGCAUCUUAUUUAUGCAUAUUUUUCAAUAUCUUUUUUUUAUUCCUUCUUUCUUGUUAUUAUUAAAUUCCUACUUGUCUCUCAAGUAUUUUGAUUGAUAAUUACGUUGGUAUUUCCUCGGGACUCAAGUGUGAUUAUGCUUUGAAUUGAAAUAUAUAUUUUUGAAUAAAAAUCAGUCUUUAAUAGUGUGAUUAUCAAAAAUCUCAUUUUGAUUAGAAUUUUCCUCUUUUAUUGUUUUGGGCCUCACGUGUAAUCACCUUUAGCAUAGGAAAGUAUCUUUGUGAUUACUUUCAUGUCUUGCAAAUUAAAAAUCUGUUUUGAAAGUGAGUUAUUUUUUUGGUGGAGCAAAAAUCCUAUAACACAAGACCUUUGUCUUCUUUCUGUAGUGAGCUUUCACGAUCAUAUUUUUAGUCUAUAAACUUUGGAAAGUUGAGUUUUUAUUUGAGAUAAAUCAUCAAGUGUUCCAUGUUUACUUGGUGAUUUAUAAAACACUUUAAUCAUUCAUAUUGCAUUCAUUUGCAUAGUUCAGUGACUCAUACAGUUGAGGGCACCAAGACCGUGGUGGAGGUUUUUCUCCGGUGAGCUUGAAUCGAUCGUGACCAGUAUGGAUUCAACAGAAGGAGAGUUGGAAGAACUCUGACAAGCUUGAAGCAAUCGCGACCAGUAUUGCGUUUAACAUACGGAGUGUCGAAAGAUCAUCUCGUGACAGAAGUUGAGUUGCUAAGAAGUUAGUAAACAUUAUGUAGAAUGUGUCUAGGAUAAGUGUGUGAGUACUUUUCGUAAUCAUCAUUCUAUAGUGAAUUUGUCCCAUCAAUUUUCCACAAAGGUGGGGUUUUAUCAUGUAAAAUAAUUCUCUGGGUGUUCCUUUAUUUUAUGCUCUACACGUUCAAGGAUUGAAACCACAUAUCCAUCCUAUUGGCGUCACUUAUUUUCAUCUAUUACUUUGUUCCAGUUCAUUAUUGUAUGUUUGUUUUUUUAUUUUUGUUGAGAAAUUAUAGGAUUGCAUUCAUAAUUCAACCAAAAAAACUACUAACUACAAGAGGCCAAUAUAAACUAACCAUAAAGGGCCAUUACAAUAACGGAGCGAUUUAACAUCAAAAUUAAGACAAUAUGAGGCUCCUUCACUAACGAUCGUGCAGGAUCGAAGAAACUCUUGCAUAGGCAUCCCAACUAAGAGUGCAAGCUCAGAAUAACCAAAAAGAGAUUAAAAAAAACCAAGUCAUAACAAUACAAAUAAAACUCUCACAAAAGAGAGGUGGAAAGCUUUCACGAAAGAAAGGUGGAAAGCUCUCACGAAAGAAAGGUGGAAAGCUCUCACAAAGGAGAGGUGAAAAACUCUCACAAAAAGAGAGGUGAAAACUACACUGAAAAUACAAAGAAUCUAUGCAACUUAUUACAAACAUGAAGAAACCGCAAAAAGGAUGGUAUUAGAGAGCCGACACUGAAACGCAGGUGGAGAACCGAAGCUAAGACGCAUUCGCAUGUUAUGACUGUAGAAAAAUCAUAACCAAACGAAGAAAUAGGGGAAAUCGUCUGUCUUUCAAAAUGAGGGAAGAGAGGAUAAGGGAUAGAAAGGCAGAAGGGGAGAGGGGAGAAAGAACAGUGACUUCCUCCCCCCUCAAAGUGAAAACGACUCUAGAGUGUUUUUUGUUGUUGUACGUUUGUUUUAAUGCCUUAUUUGUGUUCAGGAUUGAUUCAUCAUAUUAAUCAUGACAUCGUUCUUUAUGUUUUUAGUUUAUUUUUUAAUUGGCCUAUUCACUUCCUCUAGGCGUUUGUUAGUCAUCCUAUAGAUAUUUUCAAAUUUGAUUCAGUACUCCAUAAUAAAUAAAUAAAAAAAGAGGAAAGACUAGCUAGAUUGAUUCUUGUUUUCCUGUAUCCUCUAGUGCUUUUUUGUUAUUGCAGUUAUGAUAUUAGAUUGAGUGUGAGACAAAUAAUGAGCAGACCAAAAACAAAACGAAGAUAUGUGUUUCUAUAUUAUUAUAACAAUAAGAUCUCUUCACCUUUCGAAAUGAUACUUGCAUUUGAUAUUUCUUUAUUUAUAACACCUUUCAUUGUAAAUUAUCUUUCUAUAUAUUUCUAGAAGUAUUUGGUGAAUCAGAUCGAUUCACCUAUCUAACAUAUAUAUGUUUGUGCCCAUCUUGACAGGUCUGCGAAAGAUGGAUUAAGAAUAAGAACAAUAUAAGUAUAACUAAAUAAAGGAGGCAUGUUUAACUUGGUAAUUGGAUUUUCUUAACAAUAAUAUUGAAGUAUAUAAUAUAUAUCAAGGAACGAUCGAUGCUUAAUUAUCCCAGGUGAAUCAGAUUCCACACCGAUUAGGUUUAUGAACUUUCACAGUUCAUAUGAAUCAUUUCCUAAUUCCGUAAUAUAAUAUAAUAUUUAUCAACGGGAUCUAUCCUAAUAAAAAAAAAUAGCAUUAACUUAUAGAGGCUCAGAGUUUAAACUCCUAUGAGUAUAUAUAGAUAAAAAGUAUGUGAAUGUGAUGAUUUCAAUUUUCCAACAGAAAUAGAUACCAAAGUCGGCCAGUCCCUGGCCACAACCUUGCGUUCAACAAUGCUUGGGUCCUUAAUUGGGGAUAAGAUAUUUGAAGAAGCUUGGGAAAUAAAAUGGCGCAUUCUUUUUGCAUCUCUUUCUAAUUUGCAUACUUCAUUUUUUUCUUCUUCUAAUUAAUAGUCUAAUCAAUAUUGUUGAUGCGAAAAAAUGGUUCAGCACGUAUUUCGUCAACUUAGUUAAAUUAUUCCUUCGGUAGGUGACUGUCCUCGGUAAGGGAAGGUACCUACAAAAGGGCACGUUCGGUAAAUCCUUGGGGUACCGGUGCGGUAUCGGCCGAAGGCUCUCCGAUGCUUAAGUAAGUACGGAUUUAGUAAAGUUAACUGACAGAUCAAUCGAUAGCGUACUGUUAGUUCUGAUCCCCUCCUUUUAGGGAUAUGGGUCUCCUUAUAUAGGCCUUGGGAGGUGUGCACUGUGCUCAUAUUUCCGAUGUGGGACUCUGGACAUGGAUUGUGAGCAUGACACGUGUCUGAUGGCAAAAGGGCCAAGAUUGAUGGCUUCGGUAGGGGGAAUGCCGAAUGGGGUUCUGUGAUCAGUAUCGAUCCUGUCCACGUGUUCGGUGGUCAUAGGCCGUUUACUUACGGUAUAAACAAAUAUAAUAGGGUUUGUUGUCACAAUUCCAAAGGAGUUCAAGCAAGACAAACACACAUAUACCCACGUUAAAAUCCACUUUGACUAUUGACGCGAUGAGUUAGAAACUUUCCUUCUUCUUGGUUCAAAUUUGGGGAAGGAAAGAAAAAUAAAAGGAAAGCUCUAGUUGUACCUAUAAGUUCCUCUUAACUUUUGACUAGUUUGGGAUUUUUUUUUAUUGUUAUAGCAAAAAAAAAAAUUAUUAUUUUGAUAAUUUUAAUUUUUUGAAGGGAAAAAUUCUUUUCAUAUUUCGACCUUAAUCAUAACGUAAAACCUACGUCGUCUUUUAUAUCACAUCACCAUCUUUUAAGUUAAACUUUAUUUGUCGUAUAUAUCAUAUCUAAUGAUCACAUUUGCUAACUCAUCAAUGAAGGUAAAUCUCUCAAUUUUGUAAGAAAUAUGACCCACGAAUGAUGAUGGAUAAUGAAUGCGAAACUAUAAUAUGCGCAUACACACACACACCAUUUCUGUAAGGAUGAGAAGUUGCUGAAUUUACUCCAUGGCGAACUUCAGAAUUAGGAGUAGUCAGUAUAGUGCAUUUGAUAGCAGCGCUGACCUUUUUGCUUUCUACUUCAACUCUAUUUUUCUUCUUUGUUAUUUUCGUACAUGAAUAAAAUUCUUUGCUGUUACAAGGAAUUUGUUUUCUUCUGCUCUUGUCUUCUAUUUUUUUUUAAUAAUAAUAAAUUUUCAUGAAGAGUGAUUACAUAACAAACAAGAGAGAGUAUGCGAGAGAGGAGGGGCUAGCUUUAAAUAUAUUUUAUAUAUAAACAUAAGAAGUUAUUUCUACAUAUAAUUACAAGCUAGCUUAAUUAGUAUAUAUAAAGACUAGGCUAGCUAUCCAAACCACUUCUACAUCUGAUAUACAUAUAUAUAAUAUUACAGAGAGCUUCAUUAGUUAACUAAUUACUUAUACCAAACUAAGUUGGUAUAUGUUAAUUAGCGGCGAAUCUUGGGGUACUCUCUUAUCUCUAUCCCCCCAAAUAGCAGGGCUGCGUCCUUGCUAUUAAGAACAGCCUGAUCAUUCCUAAGAGGAGUUGGGUGUCUCCCUGCACGAGCUGGUUGGUCUUGAGAAAAUGGAGGGCUCUUGCCGGGCCGGCCAUAGAACUUGUCUAGCAUGGCAAAAGCCUCCCCUCCAAGCUUUGCUAGGUCUUCCUGAGUUGCCAUAAUAGUAAUAUUGCUACAAUUUAGUACAAGCACACAAACAAACAGAUGCACAAAGCAGGUCAGGUAAUUUGGUUUGCCUUUGUUUUCUUGGUAAAAUGGUUCGC
rnacentral:lncRNA from 1 species